CCAGCCAUACUUUUAUCUUGAUGUGCAAAGACUUGGGUCCCAUGUAUCUACAUAUAGAAUCUGAUGGAAGCGGAAGUACGCAAUUUGGCUGCCCUAUGUGCCAGAGAGAACAGAUGGAUCCACAAGGCGUUUAGUCUCAUUUUCCUCGGAAUUUCUGUGUGUAGCAACUUUCCUUGUGUUGUUGUAUUUGGUCAAUGUUUUUUAGUUUUUAGUUUGUAUUUGGUCAGUUAAAUGAUAGCAAAGCACGAUUGGGUGGUUGUUUGUUCUUUGAAAGUUCUGUCUUGUAUUCAUAUUUUCACUUGGUUCGAUACUCCUGGAUUCCCANNNNNNAUUGAUGACUAGUAAUUUUUACAGGUGUGUUUUGAUUUAAAAACUAAACAACAUUGACCAAAUACA
rnacentral:misc_RNA from 1 species